CAAAAACAUCACCUCUAGCAUCCCAAGUAUUAGAGGCACCGCCUGCCCAGUGACCAAGGUUAAACGGCCGCGGUAUUCUGACCGUGCAAAGGUAGCAUAAUCACUUGUUCCUUAAUUAGGGACUAGAAUGAAUGGCUAGACGAGGAUUUAACUGUCUCUUAUUUCUUAUCCGUGAAACUGACCUUCCCGUGAAGAGGCGGGAAUAACCAAACAAGACGAGAAGACCCUAUGGAGCUUUAACUUAUUAACUUAAUCCCAACUACUAAAAAUCUAAUGAACCAAAAUAUGGAGACUAAGUUAAUGAUUUAGGUUGGGGUGACCUCGGAGAACAAAUCAACCUCCGAAUGAUUCUAAUCAAGACUGACAGGUCAAAAUAAAUAUAAUUAUCAUAAUCGACCCAUUACUUUUGAUCGACGAACCAAGUUACCCUAGGGAUAACAGCGCAAUCCUAUUUAAGAGUUCCUAUCGAAAAUAGGGUUUACGACCUCGAUGUUGGAUCAGGAUAUCCCAAUGGUGCAACAGCUAUUAAUGGUUCGUUUGUUCAACGAUUAAAAUCCUACGUGAUCUGA
rnacentral:rRNA from 1 species